GCGCCUGUAGCUCAGUUGGAUAGAGCAACGGCCUUCUAAGCCGUGGGCCGUGGGUUCGAGCCCCUCCAGGCGCGCCA
rnacentral:tRNA from 2 species